GGUCCAGACUCCUACGGGAGGCAGCAGUGAGGAAUAUUGGUCAAUGGGCUUACGCCUGAACCAGCCAAGUCGCGUGAGGGAAGACUGCCCUAUGGGUUGUAAACCUCUUUUGUCAGGGAGCAACGCCGGCUACGUGUAGCCGGACUGAGAGUACCUGAAGAAAAAGCAUCGGCUAACUCCGUGCCAGCAGCCGCGGUAAUACGGAGGAUGCGAGCGUUAUCCGGAUUUAUUGGGUUUAAAGGGAGCGUAGAUGGGUUGUUAAGUCAGUUGUGAAAGUUUGCGGCUCAACCGUAAAAUUGCAAUUGAUACUGGCAGCCUUGAGUACAGUUGAGGUAGGCGGAAUUCGUGGUGUAGCGGUGAAAUGCUUAGAUAUCACGAAGAACUCCGAUUGCGAAGGCAGCUUGCUAGGCCGGAUCUGACACUGAUGCACGAAAGCGUGGGGAUCGAACAGGAUUAGAUACCCUUGUAG
rnacentral:rRNA from 1 species